GGUGUUGCUCCCCUAGAAACAGAUAUGCAGUCCAUUGUGGGCCAGCAAGUGAGUGCUGAGAACCCAGUCCGGGUCUUCUGUAAGAGCAGCAAGUCCUCUUAACCAUGGGGCCAUCUCUGCAGUCCAAGUCAUCAAAUAUUAAACGUUAUAUAUUUGGGAAUGUGAUGGUCAGAUGACAAUUAACAUAUGAAGACAUUGGGAAAUACUUUUCCAAGUCUCUGUCCUGUUUUCCAUGGCCACCAGCAGUGGGUACGAGAGUUUCAUCCUCCACAACCUGCCAGGCCAGAAGAGGGCACCAGACCUCUUUACAGAUGGUUGUGAGCCACCAUGUGGUUGCCAGG